CAAGCUCUUUUUCUUUCAUCCUUCCAUUCCCUCCUUCUCUCUCUCUCUCUCUCUCUCUCUCUCUCCAUCUCCCUUUUUUUUCUCUCUCUCUCUUUCUGACAGCUCUCUUUCCCAGGAGGAGCAGCAUUAAAAGGAGAAGUGCAAGCGACUGCAACAGAAAAUCAAACCAAUCAGGCACCCCCGCCAUCAGCCUCAUAUCAUCAUAUCACAGUGGAGGAGGCGGAUGAGAGGAAACAGCGGGAGAGGCGAGCUGCCUCCUUGGUCACGCUCUCCAAAAGGGCUGGAGGCCUAUCCACAAGGGCAAGCAAGGGCAAAAUGGAGGAGGGGAGAGAGAGAGAGGGGGAGAGAGAGAGAGGGAGAAAGAGAGAAGAGAAGGAAAGGGUAAUAAAGGAAAUAAAGAGAGGGGCGAGAUGGAGAUACAGCUUAACAGACAGUGGAUAACAGAAGGAGAGGAGGGGGGAGAGGGAGGGAAAGAGAGAGAGAAAAAAAGAGAGCACGUCCCAGUGCUGGGCUCCCGUGACGAGUCAGCACUGAUUAGAGAACACAGGGUGUCAGGAAGGUCAUCUGCCUUCACCCGCGUGCGCGCGCACACACACACACCUCACCGCUCAGAUCUGCGCACGUUUCCUCAUUAAAACAUCAGUCAGGAGGCACCCUCACUGGCCCUCCUCACUCACAACACAUGGAGAAGAGGUUUAAAAAAAAAAAAAACGCCCGUUGCCUCCUUCUCUUCUCCUCCCUCCCCAUGACUGCAGUCCUAACACGCAGUCAUCUGGGAGGACUGUCCAGCCCGUUUUAUAGCCCGUGCCUGUACAAAGCUUGGCUUUAUGUGCACACUGGACCCGAGCCGUACCCUUCAGCAGUCAUCACACGCAGCCAACCCCCAAAGGUUUUCCUAGCGCUACACACUUCCAAUGAGACACACACACACACAAAAAAAAAAAAAAAAGAUUACACAGUGUAAUAAUGUUAAUGCCGAUGUGCUUCAUUAAAACAUCAUUCGCCAGUGAUGACUAGGAUUACCGUUGUGAUCAUUUCAAGGGUAGUAAACGUUAGCGUGACCUUUUGCUUGACUUAAUUGAGCGGACGUCUUUUUUUUAUUAUCAUUAUUGAUCCGGGCCCCCGCGUGGCGGAUCGAUUGUGUACACCUCCCGAUAUGGCGGCUUACCACGGAAGUGGAGCUGGACCUGAUCACUGAUUGGGUAUUGAUUGUCACUUCACCGUCAGCCCUGGCGGCUUGAAAGGAAAAUCAAAACCAUAGCGCUCGGUCCUUUGCGGCUACAGCUAGUUCCAAAACAAAAUGGCAGAUCUCAAGGUUGUGUCUUCUAGCAAUCUAUCUUUGAAGAAGGAAUUCUGAAGGCUUGUUCUAAAACACAAUAUCUGUUCUAAGGGAGUUUUUUUUUGUUCCAGCUACAUUAUCAUAAAUAUAAACAUCAACAAGCAGUUGAAGCCCUUCAUCAUGCUUAUGAAAAAGGGAGAAACAAAGGCAACGGCUCAGUCUCCGCUCCACUCUCCCUCGUGACCAGCAGCUGCUGACAAACCUCCAUUUGACUCGUAAACGUAUCUGAUGUUAGAGGAACACUCCGAGUGCCUCCUGCUUAGCUUAAUGCAUCAUCCCAGCUCCACCUCUCCGCUCCCUGUCGCGCUCUCGCUUGCCCCCCCAUCUCUCCCUCCCUCCCUCCCUCGCUCGCUCUCCCUCCUCAGACUAAUGCACUUACAAAUGACCCACGCAGGGCUGCGACUCCAGCAUGCUCCCUCCCCUCGCUGUGCGCCUAGCCCUGGGAAAACGAGAGGCAUUAUCUAAGGAUGGUGCAAUAUUACAGGAGUCACUACAUAAGCAGCUCCAGGCAGCCGCGGGAGGCAAGCAAUAAAACACUGGCAUGUGUGUGUUUGUUUGAGUUGUGUGUGUUUGUUUAUGUGGUGUGUGAAUGUGUGUACCAGUGUGCACAUUUCUAUGCCAUGAUCACCAUCAUACCGUGUCACUACAUGAGGCAAUGUCUUACCUAAUAGGUUGACUAUGUCUCUCUUUUUCUGCCGGUGCACACACAUACACUACUACGAGUACACAAACGUCCCUCACACACACACAGACACACACACACGGGUCUGGCCAGUUUGGUUUUAUACCCUCUCAUAACUAUCCAUUUCAUUUUCCACUCACUCCAACGACACAUACUCAGCCACUUUAAGUGCAGCCCCACAUGCUUGCCCUUCUCACAACAACAACAAAUAAAAAAUACUCGUUUUGUUAAUAGUUUUUUCCCCCACUCUUUUCCACCCCUUCUCUGCGUCCUCUCGGAGCUACACCCCAGUAAUCCUGUGGUACUUUCAUUUCCCCACAUCUGCUUUGGUUUUGCUUUAAAAUUACCAAUCCCCCCCCCUCCCCCCGCAGGAUGACUCCCAAAGUAAACCUCUGUCUGAUCUGGGACAAACAUCUUGGAGCAAUCUAGGAAGAGGGUUCUCAUAAGUCUCUCAUAAGGCUCUUAUGCGCUAGGAGGCCAGGGCUGGCAAGAGGGCUACACGGCGGCUUUUUCACAAUGCCUGGCCCCGUACACACUCACACUCACUCACUCAUGCACCAAGUGGUUACCAGUGCGGCAACACACUAGACACUGCCUGGGUUUCUCAUUUAUUUUACAAACAAAUGAAUGACGUGAAAAAAAUACAUUCCGUCAGUGACUUGUCAGACUUACAGAACGGAGAGAAACUGCUGUGAGCUCGGUCACCUUGGUUCCAGACGAGACUUCAACGAGGCACAGAUGGAAAAACACACUCCGAGACAAAGAGCUUUCAGUCAACAAAACACCACAUUCGGCUGGUAGCCGACUACAUAUAUCGCUUCACUCCUCAAACACCAGAAAUGCAAGGAUGGGUGAUAAUGAGGUCUAAAUGAAUGUGUACAAAGCAACUCAGCGACAGGAUUAAAAUAUCCAAAACAGUCACAGAUAACUACUCCUGCCGAUAGCUGCACAGUACGCAAUAAGCACAGUCACUGAACAUACACACAGCACUAGCCACAAAAAAAAAAAAACCACAGCUCUCACUGCAGAGACUGAGCACUCAAGCUGCCUAUCCAUCUCUCAAUGAAGCUAGCAGAUGCAACAUGACGUUAGCGCGCGUUAGCGGGAACCUCCUGUUCAGGAGGUGGGUACAUGCAAGAGACAAACUGUCAGGAAACACAAAGCCAUCACCACAAUCUCUGCUCAGUCAAGAUAUGAUAAGCCUGUCUUUGGGGAUGGGGUGGGGGCCCUGUCUCAUUCCUGCCAGCGUGCCCUACGUGUCAGCCUAAUACCUUAAAACAACACACCAACCAGCCACGGCUACAGCCAAUUACCCUUGUUUCUGGCACUUGUAAAGAGAGAAAAAAAGAGCGUGUGAGGGGGGGUGGGGGAGAAGAGAAGACGAGGGGGAAAAAACAUCUUCUGAAAAGAAUGAAAGUGCUGCUGGCUUGUUGUUGCUCGCUGUCAGCGCGUGUUGACAGAUUGUUAAAUUUAAUGAGUACAUGGCACUUGAAUGGCCCAUCAAGACUUCUUUAAGGAAACACGCUUACUCUGUCCUGGCCAUUCCAUCUCUGCGCCAGUGGUCUGAAAUGGAAAUGAAAAUGGCUCUCUGAGCGAAUUCAUGACAGAGAAAAAUUGAAAGAGAGAGAGAAAGAAAGAAAGAAAGAAAGAAAGAAAGAGAAAGAGGGGGGAGGGAACGACCAACCCAUGUGAAUGGAAAGAAUCACUGGAGACGAUAAGCCAGACAGUAGUGAUCUGAUUUGACAGCUAAUCAUCAAAGGCUUUCCGGCUGCUGCGUGUGAAGAGGUACACAAGGAACGCACAUCCAUAUGAUUCGCUAGGUCACCUCUCAAUCUUCAGUGUAUAGGCCAUUUUAUUCUUCCAACAACAGCAAAGCUUCCUGGAUGACCAGUGAAAAACGACAGCAGCAGUAGUAUUUGAAUGUUCACUAGGCCAAAACAACAACAGCAGUAGUAUUUGAAUGUUCACUAGGCCAAAGCUGAGGAACAAACUGAGAAAAUCAGAUUCUCUUUCGCUGAUUAAAUACUUAAGAAAGAGCUCUAGCUCCUUUCUCACAGGGACAGGAACGUGAUGCAAGAGAGAUAUGCAGGAAGGAAAGGUCUUUGUCUCAGUGCUUCAGAGUGCUCAUGUGACAAGAACAGUUUUGAGGGGAAAAACACAACUGACUGUCCCUCUCAGGAGGAUAACUUCUGACAAAUCAGCUCUCGAGCCAAGGCAAAGAGAGCUUUGCCAGCCUCCACAUGGGACACACUUCCUCAAAGAAAAAAAACCCACACACACACCCUCAGGUGGUGCCAACACAGCCUAGCCCUUGUCCUCCAUUUGCUGCACAUUAUUUACAGCUCUGGCGCUCGCCUCUUCACCCCCCUCCCAGCGGCUGCUGCUCCAAAUUGCCCUCUUGGGUCACUUCAAUAACACACAUACAUAUACGAACACACACAAUCUCCUUCGACAAAUUCACUUGAUGCUAAGUACGCUAACCAGAUUACCCCUGUUGUCCCACUGCAAGGGCUGCACCCGUCCACUCCAACUCAGCAUCCUCCAUCAUGGGGGGGGGGGGGGCUUCAGAGCACAAAGCCCAGGCAGUGAAAGCCAAAUUUCUAUUUGGAAAUGCAAACAAGACCUCGUCCGCUCGCCCAUCUGAGAAAACAGCUGUUUAUGUACACAAAGGACAAACAAGGGGAAACACUGUGCAAGGGGCGAGUUGCAGACCACUUAGCAAAACAACAAUCGGUCCUGAACUUCAAGAUAUCUGCCUGGUUAGAUAAAGCACCGCUUUAUAGGGCUAUCUGUAAGUAUUCGAGUCUGUGACCAACGGGAAAACGGGACGAUUGAACAACAGCCAAACGCGCACAGUUGACAGUGUGUUCUAGUGUAAAAGUCAUUUGUUGCUGUCAAAUGUGAUGCCACUGAAAGAGGCAUGCUGCCAAGCAGGGAUCAGGUGGGGGCAGAAGCAAGACACGGCACAGAAGGCAACAAGCAAAGCAAAAGGUUUAUGAUGUACGCUUCAAGGCUGCUUACAAGAUACUCUAAAAGAAAGACAGAGGGAGAAGCUAAAGAGAAGAAGGGAGGCAGUCAAAGAAAACUGUGUGAAGUCCUUUCAGUGAGAGGGAAAUAUUGUUAACAAGUGCAUUCAUAAUAACAGGCAGAGCAAGACC
ensembl:lncRNA